rnacentral:rRNA from 1 species
AUGAACGCUGGCGGCGUGCCUAAUACAUGCAAGUCGAGCGAACGGACGAGAAGCUUGCUUCUCUGAUGUUAGCGGCGGACGGGUGAGUAACACGUGGAUAACCUACCUAUAAGACUGGGAUAACUUCGGGAAACCGUAGCUAAUACCGGAUAAUAUUUUGAACCGCAUGGUUCAAAAGUGAAGGACGGUCUUGCUGUCACUUAUAGAUGGAUCCGCGCUGCAUUAGCUAGUUGGUAAGGUAACGGCUUACCAAGGCAACGAUGCAUAGCCGACCUGAGAGGGUGAUCGGCCACACUGGAACUGAGACACGGUCCAGACUCCUACGGGAGGCAGCAGUAGGGAAUCUUCCGCAAUGGGCGAAAGCCUGACGGAGCAACGCCGCGUGAGUGAUGAAGGUCUUCGGAUCGUAAAACUCUGUUAUUAGGGAAGAACAUAUGUGUAAGUAACUGUGCACAUCUUGACGGUACCUAAUCAGAAAGCCACGGCUAACUACGUG